rnacentral:rRNA from 1 species
GCAGUCGAGCGGACCUUGAGAGAGCUUGCUCUCUCAAAGUUAGCGGCGGACGGGUGAGUAACACGUGGGUAACCUGCCUGUAAGACGGGGAUAACUCCGGGAAACCGGAGCUAAUACCGGAUAAUAAAGGGAAGUGCAUACUUCCUUUUUGAAAGUCGGCUUCUAGCUGACGCUUACAGAUGGGCCCGCGGCGCAUUAGCUAGUUGGUGAGGUAACGGCUCACCAAGGCGACGAUGCGUAGCCGACCUGAGAGGGUGAUCGGCCACACUGGGACUGAGACACGGCCCAGACUCCUACGGGAGGCAGCAGUAGGGAAUCUUCGGCAAUGGACGAAAGUCUGACCGAGCAACGCCGCGUGAGUGAGGAAGGCCUUCGGGUCGUAAAGCUCUGUUGUCAGGGAAGAACAAGUACCAGAGUAACUGCUGGUACCUUGACGGUACCUGACCAGAAAGCCACGGCUAACUACGUGCCAGCAGCCGCGGUAAUACGUAGGUGGCAAGCGUUGUCCGGAAUUAUUGGGCGUAAAGCGCGCGCAGGCGGUUCUUUAAGUCUGAUGUGAAAGCCCACGGCUCAACCGUGGAGGGUCAUUGGAAACUGGGGAACUUGAGUGCAGGAGAGAAAAGUGGAAUUCCACGUGUAGCGGUGAAAUGCGUAGAGAUGUGGAGGAACACCAGUGGCGAAGGCGGCUUUUUGGCCUGUAACUGACGCUGAGGCGCGAAAGCGUGGGGAGCAAACAGGAUUAGAUACCCUGGUAGUCCACGCCGUAAACGAUGAGUGCUAGGUGUUGGGGGGUUCCACCCUCAGUGCUGACGUUAACACAUUAAGCACUCCGCCUGGGGAGUACGACCGCAAGGUUGAAACUCAAAGGAAUUGACGGGGGCCCGCACAAGCAGUGGAGCAUGUGGUUUAAUUCGAAGCAACGCGAAGAACCUUACCAGGUCUUGACAUCCUCUGCCACUCCUAGAGAUAGGACGUUCCCCUUCGGGGGACAGAGUGACAGGUGGUGCAUGGUUGUCGUCAGCUCGUGUCGUGAGAUGUUGGGUUAAGUCCCGCAACGAGCGCAACCCUUGAUUUUAGUUGCCAGCAUUCAGUUGGGCACUCUAAGGUGACUGCCGGUGACAAACCGGAGGAAGGUGGGGAUGACGUCAAAUCAUCAUGCCCCUUAUGACCUGGGCUACACACGUGCUACAAUGGGUGGUACAAAGGGUUGCAAAGCCGCGAGGCCGAGCCAAUCCCAAAAAGCCACUCUCAGUUCGGAUUGUAGGCUGCAACUCGCCUACAUGAAGCCGGAAUUGCUAGUAAUCGCGGAUCAGCAUGCCGCGGUGAAUACGUUCCCGGGCCUUGUACACACCGCCCGUCACACCACGAGAGUUUGUAACACCCGAAGUCGUUGAGGUAACCUUUGGAGCCAGCC